UGUGAUGAGUUGAUACCAGAGUAUCUCAACUUUAUCCGUGGUAUGGUGGACUCUGAGGAUUUGCCUCUGAACAUCUCCUGAGAAAUGCUCCAGCAGAGCAAAAUCCUGAAAGUCAUUCGCAAAAACAUUGUUAAGAAGUGCCUUGAGCUCUUCUCUGAGCUGGCGGAAGACAAGGAGAAUUACAAGAAAUUCUAUGAGGCAUUCUUUAAAAAUCUCAAGCUUGGAAUUCAUGAGGAUUCCACUAACCGACGCCACCUGUCUGAGCUGCUGCGCUAUCCCACCUCCCAGUCUGGAGAUGAGAUGACAUCUCUGUCAGAGUAUGUUUCUCGCAUGGAGACACAGAAGUCCAUCUAUUACAUCACUGGUGAGAGCAAAGAGCAGGUGGCCGACUCAGCUUUUGUGGAGCAAGUGCGGAAGAAGGGCUUCGAGGUGGUAUAUAUGACUGAGCCCAUUGAUGAAUACUGUGUGCAGCAGCUAAAGGAGUUUGAUGGGAAGAGCCUAGUCUCAGUUACCAAUGAGGGUCUGGAGCUACCGGAGGAUGAGGAGGAAAAGAAGAAAACGGAAGAGAGCAAGGCAAAGUUUGAGAACCUCUGCAAGCUCAUGAAAGAAAUCUUAGAUAAGAAGGUUGAGAAGGUGACAAUCUCCAAUAGGCUUGUGUCUUCACCCUGCUGCAUUGUGACCAGCACCUACGGCUGGACAGCCAAUAUGGGGCAGAUCAUGAAAGCCCAGGCAGUUCGGGACAACUCCAUCAUGGGCUACACGAUGGCCAAAAAGCGCCUGGAGAUCAACCCUGACCACCCAUUGUGGAGAUGCUGCAGCAGAAGGCUGAGGCAGGCAAGAAUGAGAAGGGAGUCAAGGACCUUGUGGUGCUGCUGUUUGAAACCUCCCUGCUCUCUUCUGGCUUUUCCCUUGAGGAUCCCCCGACCUACUCCAACCGCAUCUACCGCAUGAUCAAGUUAGGUCUAGGUAUCGAUGAAGAUGAAGUGGCAGCAGAGGAACCCAGUGCUGCAGCUUCUGAUGAGAUCCCUCCUCUUGAGGGUGAUGAGGAUGUGUCUCACAUGGAAGUAGUAGAUUAGGAGUUCAUAGUUGGAAAACUGCCCUGGUAUAGUGUCCUCAUGGCUCCCCCUGCAGCCUUGAGUGCCCCGACCCACCUGGCUCCCCCUGCUGAUGUCUAGUGUUUUUUUUCUCUCCUGUCCUUCAGUUGAAGGCAGGAAACAAGGGUGUCAAGCCCCUAUUCUUUCCCUACUCUGACAGCAGGAUUGGAUGUUGUGUAUUGUGGUUUUUUAUUUUGUUUGUUCAUUUUGUUCUGAAAUUAAAGUAUGCAAAAUAAAGAAAAGAAA